GCCCGGGUGGCGAAAUUGGUAGACGCAAGGGACUUAAAAUCCCUCGGUUAUUGUAACCGUGCCGGUUCGAUUCCGGCCCCGGGCACCA
rnacentral:tRNA from 1 species